UAGGGAAUCUUCGGCAAUGGACGAAANUCUGACCGAGCAACGCCGCGUGAGUGAAGAAGGUUUUCGGAUCGUAAAACUCUGUUGUUAGAGAAGAACAAGGAUGAGAGUAAAAAGUUCAUCCCUUGACGGUAUCUAACCAGAAAGCCACGGCUAACUACGUGCCAGCAGCCGCGGUAAUACGUAGGGUGCGAGCGUUAAUCGGAAUUACUGGGCGUAAAGCGUGCGCAGGCGGUUUGAUAAGCCAGAUGUGAAAUCCCCGAGCUCAACUUGGGAACUGCGUUUGGAACUGUCAGACUAGAGUGCGUCAGAGGGGGGUGGAAUUCCGCGUGUAGCAGUGAAAUGCGUANAGAUGCGGAGGAACACCGAUGGCGAAGGCAGCCCCCUGGGAUGACACUGACGCUCAUGCACGAAAGCGUGGGGAGCAAACAGGAUUAGAUACCCUGGUAGUCCACGCCCUAAACGAUGUCAAUUAGCUGUUGGGGGUUAGAAUCCCUGGUAGCGUAGCUAACGCGUGAAAUUGACCGCCUGGGGAGUACGGCCGCAAGGUUA
rnacentral:rRNA from 1 species